CGGCGGACGGCAGAGUAACACGUAGGAACAUACCCCAAACUGAGGGAUAACUGCCCGAAAGGGUGGCUAAUACCGCAUGUGAUCUUCGGAUUAAAGCUUCGGCGGUUUGGGAAUGGCCUGCGUCUGAUUAGCUUGUUGGUGAGGUAAUGGCUCACCAAGGCGACGAUCAGUAGCUGGUCUGAGAGGAUGAUCAGCCUGACUGGAACUGAGAACGGUCCAG
rnacentral:rRNA from 1 species